GGAUUUCGGAGGAUAUUCAAUAUCGCGUUUUUUGCGUAUUAAUAUUUUCGAAUAUCGUGAUAUACGCACCCCGAAAUAUGGAGAUAUCACGAAUACCACGAUAUUGAAAGAUAUCUAAUAUAAUAUCAUCGAUACCAAACGACGCGUUGUAUACAUUGUCAUAUACUUUACACGUAUUACCAUAUAGUUGAUAAUAGGUGAAUUGAGAAGAAAAACCUCAAGUUCUUCUGUUGUCAUCCUUUUCUAUGUCUAAAAAUAUUAUUUACUUUCCAAGGGAAGACAAAAACACAGCGAAAUCGGUCUCCAUAAUAUCACGUCUGGCAAUGAAUAAGCUAAUAAAAUAAUUGUAACAACUCUCAUUAAUUACAAUUUACCAGAACCCUAAUCAUGUCGUAGGCUUCUCAAUCGAAAUCAAUAUCAAUUUUGUUAUUGUAAGUUUACAUGGUGGGAGCCUUACGAAGGCGCAUCCGUCUGGGAAACAUUGAGAAGCAAGCAGCGGUAUGCUUAUGCUUAUUUCCCUUAAUAUUAUUGGAUUUCUUGCCCUGGUUGUUCCCCUCGAUGUUGUCUCUUUUCAUAUAACAAACAUCGCCGUCGCACACGUAAUUUGAUGGUUGAGGCGGGUUAUGCUGAUUCUGAGAUGCUUCAUUAUUAGCCGGACGGUGACCACCGCCAAAGAUGCUGGAGAGCGUGGGCACGGCCAUGAAUUUCCGUGCUGAAGAAUUACUAAAGAAAUCCUCAAAAAGUAUCCAAAAUAAACUCAAU
rnacentral:lncRNA from 1 species